rnacentral:rRNA from 1 species
AGGACGAACGCUGGCGGCGUGCUUAACACAUGCAAGUCGAACGAGGCCCUCCCUUCGGGGAGGUGACCUAGUGGCGAACGGGUGAGUAACACGUGGGCAACCUACCCUCAGCUCUGGGAUAACCCCGGGAAACCGGAGCUAAUACUGGAUAUGACCUGGAACGACAUCGUUCUUGGUGGAAAGUUUUUCGGCUGAGGAUGGGCCCGCGGCCUAUCAGCUUGUUGGUGGGGUAAUGGCCCACCAAGGCGACGACGGGUAGCCGGCCUGAGAGGGCGAUCGGCCACACUGGGACUGAGACACGGCCCAGACUCCUACGGGAGGCAGCAGUGGGGAAUAUUGCGCAAUGGGCGAAAGCCUGACGCAGCGACGCCGCGUGAGGGAUGAAGGCCUUCGGGUUGUAAACCUCUUUCAGCAGGGACGAAGCGAAAGUGACGGUACCUGCAGAAGAAGCACCGGCCAACUACGCGCCAGCAGCCGC